AGACAUGAGGGCAAUCUGGCUGCAAUAUCUGUCACCCCAUUGAUCACCAGGGUUGAUUCGGCUGAUCUGGGUGACUAGGCAGGUGUCCCCUUCAUCCCUCAGUGCUCCAUAUGUCCCUCCUAAAGCUAUGUGCCUAGUAGAAGAGGAAGACCUUCCCUGAUAGAGGAGGACCAUUCUUUGGUGAAGGGUAUACAGGUAGCUGCACUCCCUUGCUAGAACCUCCAAGCAAGUUCCCACGUUCCAUUUAUAGGAGAAUGUAGGGUAGGCAAGCUCCUAAGACUCCAGACACAUCUAAAUGAUGUGCUGCAUGUGGCAAUCUGCCUUUCUUG
rnacentral:snRNA from 2 species